rnacentral:rRNA from 1 species
UACGUAUGGUGCAAGCGUUAUCCGGAUUUACUGGGUGUAAAGGGAGCGCAGGCGGCACGGCAAGCCUGAUGUGAAAGCCCGCGGCCCAACCGCGGGACUGCAUUGGGAACUACCGGGCUGGAGUGCCGGAGAGGUAGGCGGAAUUCCUAGUGUUGCGGUGAAAUGCGUAGAUAUUAGGAGGAACACCAGUGGCGAAGGCGGCUUACUGGACGGUGACUGACGCUGAGGCUCGAAAGCGUGGGGAGCAAACAGG